AACUUUCAACAACGGAUCUCUUGGCUCUCGCAUCGAUGAAGAACGNNNNCAGCGAAAUGCGAUACGUAAUGUGAAUUGCAGAAUUCAGUGAAUCAUCGAAUCUUUGAACGCACCUUGCGCCCCUUGGCAUUCCGAGGGGCACACCCGUUUGAGUGU
rnacentral:rRNA from 1 species